CCCCUGGAAAACAAUUUGGCAAUUGAGUUAUCUCAACUUAAUCCUCUUCCUUCUCAGCAACCAGGAAGAUCAAUUCAUGCAAACAGAAUUGGCUGUUGCAAUCUGUUCCAGCCCAUUUCUUAUCUUCUCUGUUUGCAGUUAGACAGUAUAAGUAGCAGCAGCCAUAGGGCGAAUGAUCAGGGCCCUUGGCUUUGCACACCACCAGCCAUCCAAAUAUCAUGGGGAAGGGAUGGAUCCGGGAGAUACCCAGCCUCGCCCUGCUGCUGCUGGUGAUUCUUCUUCCUCGGACAUCCUUGGCUAAUUACACCGAACCGCAAUACUUGAUUCUGGUGCCCUCUGUGAUCCACACGCAGACCUCUGAGAAGGUUUGUGUCCAGAUGCUCCAUUUCAAUGAGACCUUGACUUUGAGCAUCACUAUGGAAUUUGAGGACAAGAAAAUAAGCCUGACUGAAGUAAACAUGAUGGCUGAGAAGGACAUCUUCCAAUGUAUUUCCUUCCAGCUUCCCAAGUUGAAUCAUUCCUCAAGCUGUCCCUCAAGAUUUCCCAGCCCUACAGAUUGUCCCAAGGUCCUUCUCCAGGUGGCACUGAAGGGAAAAAAGUUGAACGUGACACAACAAGAACUGGUCAUGGUCAGAAACCCAAGUGACCUACUUUUUGUUCAGACAGACAAGCCCAUCUACAAGGCAGGACAGGAAGUGAAGAUUCGCAUCGUUUGUCUGCAUGAAGACUUUCGCCCUGCAAAUAAGAAGAUUCCUUUAAUUUACAUCCAGGACCCCAGGAAGAAUCGUCUGUUCCAGUGGAACGAUGUUAAGCUUAACAUGGGCCUCACCCAGCUGUCUUUCCUUCUGUCUUCUGAGCCCGCCUUAGGCACCUACAAAUUGGUGAUAGAAAAAUCUUCCAGGAAGAUUGCCGGGCACACAUUUCAUGUGGAAGAAUAUGUAUUACCCAAGUUUAAAGUUUCGAUGACGGGACCGAAGCAAAUCUCCAUUUGGACUGGAAAAUUUGAAAUAACCUUUUGUGGGAAGUACACCUAUGGGAAACCUGUCCCUGGCCUAGUGAAAAUGGCUGUCUGCCGUCGUUAUAUGCAACAUAAUCCAUGUCCAGAGACAGAGCUGAAUCUGUGUGAAGAGUACAGUGGAGAGGCGAAUGGACAAGGGUGUUUCUCUCAGGUGGUAGAAACCAAGAUGUUUCAUCUGAAGCAAAAUGGUUUGGAAAUGCAUAUUAAGGCAGAAGGCAAGAUCAUCGAAGAAGGCACAGGGGUGGAAAUGACAGAGGUGAGCACCAUAAGCAUCACUUCGACAGCCAGCAAACUGAACUUUGAAAAUGCAGAGCCUUAUUAUAAGCCUGGGAUCCCCCUUUUCCUGCAGAUGAAACUGGUGGAUGGUAUGGAUGUGCCGAUGGCUAACAAGACCAUUCAGAUUACAGGACCUUCAGUGAAAUAUACAGCCAGGCACACAACUAAUGAGGAAGGACGAAUACAGUUUUCCAUAGAUACAUCUAAUUUCACAGAGGACUCCAUCAAUUUUCAGGGAGUUUACAAAGAAAAUGAAUGGUGUCACAAUUCAGUCUCCAUUUAUCACCGACAUGCCUCGCACUUAGUGUACCGAUUUUACUCACCAAGUCAAAGUUACCUCCACAUUGAGCCUCUGCCAAAAACAUUGAGCUGUGGUGACACAGAGCAGAUUCGAGUGCAUUUCAUCUUGGAUCCAAAUGCAGUGAAGAAGGAAAUUAUCUUUCAUUAUUUGGUGAUGGCAAAGGGAGACAUCAUACGAGCAGGGACACACACACAGCCGAUGGAGGGAAAAGAACCGAAAGGGGACUUCCUUUUGAAUCUCUCGGUGGAUGUCGACACGGCUCCCGUGACCCGCUUGCUCCUCUACACCAUUUUGCCCAAUGGAGAACUUGUUGCUCACUCCAGAGACUUCACUGUAGAAAAGUGCUUCUCCAACAAGGCCAGACUCUGGUUCUCUGAUCAAGAAGGCCUGCCUGGGCAGAAAACCCAACUCCAUCUUGCUGCUUCCUCUGGCUCCCUCUGUGCUUUCCAUGCUAUUGACCAGAGUGUCUUUCUCUUGAAACCCGAAGCCCAGCUCUCCCCUGAGAAGAUCUAUAACCUGCUCCCAGGCUCUUUAUAUGACACACACUUUGCAAGAGAAUGGGAUAGAAGGCAAUGCAUCAAAAUGAAAAACAUUGAAGUGGGUGGUAUCCAUUAUCGCCCUGUUCCUUUUUCUGAUGGGGAAGCUGAUGUUUUCAAAAUUCUUAAGGACUUGGGUUUAAAAGUUUUUACUAGCACUAAACUACGCAAGCCGAAUAUCUGUUGGGUUACCCCAUUUUUUCCACGCUUCUCCGAUUUUGCCCCUGUACCAUUGGCAGGUGCCAUAGGACCGAUGGCUUCUCCAAUUGCUUACCGCUCAUCUAGUUCUCCCAUGAUCAGGACCUCUGCCACUGAAAUUACGCCUGUUGAGACUAUCAGAUUGGAGUUCCCUGAAACCUGGCUAUGGGAUUUGGUGAUAAUAGAGGAUUCUAAAAACGUGUCUCUUCCUGUCACCAUCCCGGACACCAUCACCGAAUGGAAAGCUGGAGCUUUCUGUCUUUCAGCAGACACCGGCUUUGGCCUGGCCCAGCCCACUUCUCUGAAGGCCUUUCAGCCAUUCUUCAUUGACCUCACCUUGCCCUAUUCCGUGGUGCGAGGAGAAGCCUUCCCACUCAAGGCUACAGUCUUCUCCUACCAGACUCACUGCAUCCAGGUCACAAUAUCUCUAGCUCCUUCUGCUGACUUUGAGGCAACCGCUAUGGACAAACAGCAAGAAUCUUACUGCAUUUGUGCAAAUGGGAGGAGAACGGUAUCCUGGAUGGUGACCCCCAAAUCACUUGGCAAAGUGAAUUUCACAGCCAGUGCUGAGGCCGUGAGCUCAGAUCAGCUCUGUGGGAAUGAAAUAGUGGAGGUGCCCAGCAUGCAGCGAAAAGAUGUUGUGAUCAAAACACUUUUAGUUGAGCCUGAAGGGAUUGAGAAAGAGGUAGUCUUCAAUUCACUUCUCUGUUCUGAUGGAGAUGUACAGUCAGAACCAAUAUCUUUGAGGGUGCCAGAAAAUGUUGUGGAAGGCUCUGCCAGGGCGACCUUUUGUGUACUUGGAGACAUUCUUGGGGGAGCGAUACAGAACCUCCAUCAGCUUCUCAAGAUGCCUUAUGGCUGUGGGGAGCAGAACAUGGCCCUCUUUGCCCCCAAUAUCUACAUCCUGAACUACCUCAAUAAGACUGGACAACUGACCGAGGAGAUCAAAUCCAAGGCCAUCGGAUACUUACAGGCAGGCUAUCAAAGGCAACUGAACUACAAACAUUCUGAUGGUUCCUACAGCACCUUUGGAGAAAGGAGCUCAAAAGAAGGAAAUACCUGGUUGACAGCUUUUGUGCUGAAGAGUUUCACUCAGGCGGCGCCCUACAUCCCCGUGCAACAAAAUUAUAUCACUGAUGCUCAGACUUCACUGGCGCUCAGGCAGUUGGAAGAUGGUUCCUUCCUAAAAAGAGGGUCUCUGCUGAACAACGCACUAAAGGGUGGGGUUGAUGAUGCGAUUUCUCUUUCGGCCUACAUCACCAUAACUUUGCUGGAAAUGCCUCUGCCUCGCACACACCUUUUGGUACGAAACGCCUUGCAUUUCCUGGAGACGGCAUCUCAAGCGGAAGAGAUCCACAUUUAUUCCCGGGCUCUGAUGGCGUAUGCCUUUACUCUGGCGGGGAAUGAGGAGAGGAGGCAAGCGAUGUUGGAGUCCCUUCAAAAACUAGCUGUGAAGGAAGAGGAUGGCUCCAUCCACUGGGAGAGACCUGAGAAGCAGAAGAAGACCCCCGAUCUUCCAUAUUACCACCCCCUUGCUCCCUCUGCUGAGGUAGAGAUGACCGCCUACGUUCUCCUUUCUUACGUGGCCAAAGAACCAUUCCCGUCCCAGGAAGAAUUAACAACAGCAACUGCCAUUGUCAAAUGGUUGACCAACCAACAGAAUCCCAAUGGAGGAUUCUCUUCAACACAGGAUACGGUGGUGGCUCUCCAGGCCCUCUGCCAGUACAAGACAAUUACUUAUUCCAAGGAUGGAGUUGAUGCCAGAGUGACCUUGAGUUCUGGAGAUAUUGCCCUGACCAAAUUCCAUGUUGACAGCACCAACUCUCUGCUGCUCCAGUGCCAGGAUCUGCCUCAGGUGCCAGGGAACUACAUGGCUGAGAUGACCGGUUGCAUCUUUAUGCAAACCAGCUUGAGGUAUAACAUCCAUCCACCCCAGGAGGAGGCGCCAUUCAAGUUGCUUGUGCAGACAAGUCCUCAGAAUUGCACUGGACCUAAAGCGCACCAGACCUUUGACAUUGCUAUCAGCGUCAGUUACACCGGCCAACGUGUGGUUUCCAACAUGGCAAUUGUCCAGAUUAAGAUGCUAUCCGGAUACAUCCCAGUGAAAUCAACCGUAAAGUUGCUGGAAGAACGUCAUUUCGUCCAGCGGGCUGAAAUUUCAGCCACCCAGGUCCUCCUGUAUUUGGAACAGGUCAGCAGUCUAAGCCAGAGUUAUUCCUUCAAGGUCGAGCUUGAGACUCCGGUCCAGGGCCUGAAACCUGCCCCGGUGAAAGCCUAUGAUUAUUAUGAAACCGAUGACUAUGCCAUCUCGGAGUACAUCGCCCCCUGCAGCACAGGUCACCCAGUGAUGCCUUCAUCACCACUGUCACCGAGUCCCUUGCUGCUAAUUGUCCUCUUGUCUUACCUUCCACCUUUCCCAACAUCAAAGACUUUUCCAGGAAACUAAGUCUUCACAAAAUGUCUCAAAAGUAGGAUAAUUUCAUGGUCAAAGAGUAGCUCUCAGAUGAAGAGGUCAAAAAAAUCCGUUAAGCAAGAAAAUCUCCAGCCAAGAGAAACAAGGAAGAAUCUAUCAAGUUUGCUCUCCCCCUUUUUUUCUGUACAAAAACCCACUAAAUGUAUGUGCCCAACUUACUGUCAACUUCUGAAACGAACCUGGCUGAAGCCAUCUUUGUCAAUCUAAGUUGCCACAUAGGUUUGGGGGGAAGAAGAGAAGGAACACAAAAGUAUUGCUAGACAAAACACGGAGCGGUCCCUUGGGAACCAAGGUCAUUCCCAUAGGUGCAGGAAGGAGGAGUGGAGAUGUGUCCCAGAGCCCACCAAUUGCUUUCACUGGGUAGCAUAAUCAAUAACAUAAUGCAGUGGAGGGAAAUGUUACAUUUAAUUACACUGAAUCCCUAAGGGAAAGUUUAGAGUUGGUUUCACUUUUGAUCAUACCAACAUUAUGUAUCCAAUAAACAUGUGCUUUGAGGAAAC